rnacentral:rRNA from 1 species
GACGAACGCUGGCGGCGUGCCUAAUACAUGCAAGUAGAACGCAGUUGCGAACGGGUGAGUAACGCGUAGGUAACUGCCUCAUAGCGGGGGCUAACUAUUGGAAACGAUAGCUAAUACCGCAUCCUGUGAGAUGGACCUGCGUUGUAUUAGCUAGUUGGUGAGGUAAAGGCUCACCAAGGCGACGAUACAAAGCCGGCCGGAGAGGGGGGUUGGGCACCCUGGGACCUGGACCCGGGCCAGACGUCGUAGGGAGGGCGCAGGAGGGAAUCGUCGGCAAUGGGCGGAAGGCUGAACGAGCCAAGCCGGGGGAGGGAAGAAGGGUUUUGGGACGUAAAGCUCUGUUGGUAGGGGAGCGGUAACUAACCAGAAAGGGACGGCUAACUACGUGCCAGCAGCCGCGGUAAUAC